rnacentral:rRNA from 1 species
CCUACGGGAGGCAGCAGUGAGGAAUAUUGGUCAAUGGGCGCGAGCCUGAACCAGCCAAGUAGCGUGAAGGAUGACUGCCCUACGGGUUGUAAACUUCUUUUAUAAGGGAAUAAAGUGAGGCACGUGUGCCUUUUUGUAUGUACUUUAUGAAUAAGGAUCGGCUAACUCCGUGCCAGAAGCCGCGGUAAUACGGAGGAUCCGAGCGUUAUCCGGAUUUAUUGGGUUUAAAGUGAGCGUAGAUGGGUUGGUAAGUCAGUUGUGAAAGUUUGCGGCGCAACCGUAAAAUGGCAAUUGAUACUGGCAGCCUUGAGUACAGUUGAGGUAGGCGGAAUUCGUGGUGUAGCGGUGAAAUGCUUCGAUAUCACGAAGAACUCCGAUUGCGAAGGCAGCUUACUAAACUGCAACUGACAUUGAUGCUCGAAAGUGUGGGUAUCAAACAGGAUUAGAUACCCUAGUAGUC